rnacentral:rRNA from 1 species
AUUGAACGCUGGCGGCAGGCCUAACACAUGCAAGUCGAACGAGUGGCGGACGGGUGAGUAAUGUCUGGGAAACUGCCUGAUGGAGGGGGAUAACUACUGGAAACGGUAGCUAAUACCGCAUACCAUCGGAUGUGCCCAGAUGGGAUUAGCUAUUAGGUGGGGUAAAGGCUCACCUAGGCGACGAUCCCUAGCUGGUCUGAGAGUAUGACAAGACAAACUGGAACUGGGACACGGUCAAGACUCCUAGGGGAUGCAGCAGUGGGGAAUAGUGCACAAUGGGCGCAAGCCUGAUGCAGCCAUGCCGCGUGUAUGAAGAAGGCCUUCGGGUUGUAAAGUACUUUCAGCGGGGAGGCGUUACCCGCAGAAGAAGCACCGGCUAGCUACGUGCCAGCAGCCGCGGUAAUUC